rnacentral:rRNA from 1 species
GCGGCGCGCCUAACAAUGCAAGUCGAACGAGAAAGCGGGAGCAUUCUCGCGAGUAAAGUGGCGUACGGGUGAGUAACACGUGGAUUAUCUACCCUGGAGUGGGGAAUAACGCUGGGAAACCGGCGCUAAUACCGCAUAUUCCCGAGAGGGGAAAGCAGCAAUGCGCUCGAGGAGGAGUCCGCGGCCGAUUAGCUAGUUGGCAGGGUAAAAGCCUACCAAGGCUGUGAUCGGUAGCCGGCCUGAGAGGGCACACGGCCACACUGGCACUGAAACACGGGCCAGACUCCUACGGGAGGCAGCAGUGGGGAAUCUUGCACAAUGGGGGAAACCCUGAUGCAGCGACGCCGCGUGAGCGAUGAAGCCCUUCGGGGUGUAAAGCUCUUUCGGCAGGGAAGAUGAUGACGGUACCUGCAGAAGCAGCUGCGGCUAACUACGUGCCAGCAGCCGCGGUAAUACGUAGGCAGCAAGCGUUGUUCGGAGUUACUGGGCGUAAAGGGUGUGUA